UACAGCGGGAAGCCACCUGGCGACAGGGCGCGGAACCCGAAAACCUGUCUCAGUUCGGAUUGGAGUCUGCAACCCGACUCCAUGAAGCUGGAUUCGCUAGUAAUCGCGCAUCAGCCACGGCGCGGUGAAUACGUUCCCGGGCCUUGUACACACCGCCCGUCAAGCCAUGGGAGCCGGGGGCGCCUGAAGUGCGCGGCCGCGAGGAGCGCCCUAGGGCAAGACUGGUGACUGGGGCUAAGUCGUAACAAGGUAAC
rnacentral:rRNA from 1 species